rnacentral:rRNA from 1 species
GAUGAACGCUGGCGGCGUGCCUAAUACAUGCAAGUCGAGCGAACGGACGCGAAGCUUGCUUCUCUGAUGUUAGCGGCGGACGGGUGUGUAACACGUGUAUAACCUACCUAUCAGACUGGGAUCACUUCGGGACACCGGAGCUAAUCCCGGAUAAUAUUUUGAACCGCAUGGUUCAAAAGUGAAAGACGGUCUUGCUGUCACUUAUAGAUGGAUCCGGGCUGCAUUAGCUAGUUGGUAAGGUAACGGCUUACCAAGGCAACGAUGCAUAGCCGACGGGGGAGGGUGGUCGGCCACACUGGAACGUGGCCACGGACCUUGGUCCUGCGAGAGGCAGCAGUAGGCAAUCGUCCGCAGUAGGCGGAAGCCUUGCAGAGCAGCGGCACGUGAGAUGUGACGGUCUUCGGAUCGUAAAACUCGGUUAUUAGGUGAGAACAGAUGUGGAAUUAACUGAGCACAGCGUGACGGUACCUAAUAAAAAAGCAACGGCUAACUACGUG